UUGCCACGAUAAAGAAAAAUGACUAGAUCAACCAUGUCUGUUUUUUUUCCUAAUUCUAUUCCUUGGCUCGUUUUCUUGUGCAAAUAGUGAAUGUUCGUCAUUGGCAUGUCACGCUGUAUUUAAACCAGUUUGUGGGAACAAUGGUGUCACUUACUUUAAUGAGUGCUAUCUCAAUAAAGCAAGAUGCUCGAUUCCUAGACUUGCUAAACUCAUUGACGGGAUAUGUAAAGCUGUGUAAUGAUGUUGAAGGAGCUUCAGUGUUGUGUGAUGCAUCGCUUGAGAGCCUUGGGUUCCAG